AGACCACUUUCGUUGCUGGGAGCUAUAUUUGAUGAUAAUUUCAAAGCUUGCAAUUUUAUUCAAAUUGUUGGUUAUUCCACAAGAUUCCAGGGACUCCGUUGUAUGCUUAGAGAAUGUUUAAAGUUUCCUACAACGGCACCUGACUUAAGGACGCGGUCAGCUUUUCACAGGCACUUUCAGCCACUUGCAAACACUGGCAAAUUCACAAAUGUUCAGCUAACGUCAAAGUGGCAAGAACUGAAGACGCAACUCCUAGAGCGACGCAAUUAUUUUUAGCAGAUGUGGUAGAAGAUCCCAGUCCGCUGAGAUGGCCUACAACACUGGCAUGUCGACCGGCGACAUGCCGAUGAUGCAUCAGGA